rnacentral:rRNA from 1 species
AUACGGAGGAUCCGAGCGUUAUCCGGAUUUAUUGGGUUUAAAGGGUGCGCAGGCGGCCAUUUAAGUCAGCGGUUAAAUCGUGGGGCUCAACCCCAUUCUGCCGUUGAUACUGGGUGGCUUGAUUGCGGUCGAGGUUGGCGGAAUUCGUUGUGUAGCGGUUAAAUGCAUAGAUAUGACGAAGAACACCGAUUGCGUAGGCAGCUGACCAGACCGCAAAUGACGCUCAUGCACGAAAGUGCGGGGAUCGAACAGGAUUAGAUACCCUGGUAGUCCGCAGAGUAAACGAUGAAUACUUGGUUUCGGCGAUAUAAUGUCGGAGGCAAAGAGAAAGCGAUAAGUAUUCCACCUGGGGAGUACGCCGGCAACGGGGAGACUCAAAUGAAUUGACGGGG